rnacentral:rRNA from 1 species
GAUGAACGCUGGCGGCGUGCCUAAUACAUGCAAGUCGAGCGAACGGACGAGAAGCUUGCUUCUCUGAUGUUAGCGGCGGACGGGUGAGUAACACGUGGAUAACCUACCUAUAAGACUGGGAUAACUUCGGGAAACCGGAGCUAAUACCGGAUAAUAUUUUGAACCGCAUGGUUCAAAAGUGAAAGACGGUCUUGCUGUCACUUAUAGAUGGAUCCGCGCUGCAUUAGCUAGUUGGUAAGGUAACGGCUUACCAAGGCAACGAUGCAUAGCCGACCUGAGAGGGUGAUCGGCCACACGGGAACUGAGACACGGUCCAGACUCCUACGGGAGGCAGCAGUAGGGAAUCUUCCGCAAUGGGCGAAAGCCUGACGGAGCAACGCCGCGUGAGUGAUGAAGGUCUUCGGAUCGUAAGACUCUGUUAUUAGGGAAGAACAUAUGUGUAAGUAACUGUGCACAUCUUGACGGUACCUAAUCAGAAAGCCACGGCUAACUACGUG